rnacentral:lncRNA from 1 species
CUAGUCGAAUGAGCUGGACUCGGUGGUGAAGUUGGUUUUCGCGGUGGAAAGGCUUCUUGAACCUCCUUGGGAGAUGGUGGCGGUGUGUAUGACGACCGAGGAGGUGGCGGUGGGGGUGACGGAGACUUAGCUUUUGGUGGGGUCGGUGGUGACAUGUGGCGGCUCGGCGGUGAAUGAUACGGGAACCGCUCCUGAGUAGGUGGAGGUGGAGGAGUUUGCUGACGUGGAGGCGAAGGAGGUCGUUGCUGACGUGGAGGCGAAGGAGGUUGUUGCUGACGUGGAGGUGACGGUUGUUUCGCCGGUUGUCUGACUACAACCUGACGGCUAGGGGUUUGUCGAGUUUGAGGUGGAGGAGGAGGAGGUGGGUCGCUUGAGCCUUGUGAUGUGGGCCUAGCGAUGCUAGCGAGACGGAAC